rnacentral:rRNA from 1 species
GAGUUUGAUCGUGGCUCAGGACGAACGCUGGCGGCAUGCCUAAUACAUGCAAGUCGAACGCACGAAGUUGAAAAGCUUGCUUUUCUACCAAGUGAGUGGCGGACGGGUGAGUAACACGUGGGUAACCUGCUCAUAAGAGGGGGAUAACAUUCGGAAACGGAUGCUAAUACCGCAUAUUUCAAGUGACCGCAUGGUCGCUUGAUGAAAGGUGGCUUCGGCUACCACUUAUGGAUGGACCCGCGGUGCAUUAGUUAGUUGGUGAGGUAAUGGCUCACCAAGACCAUGAUGCAUAGCCGACCUGAGAGGGUGAUCGGCCACACUGGGACUGAGACACGGCCCAGACUCCUACGGGAGGCAGCAGUAGGGAAUCUUCCGCAAUGGACGAAAGUCUGACGGAGCAAUGCCGCGUGAGUGAAGAAGGUUUUCGGAUCGUAAAAACUCUGUUGUUAGAGAAGAACAAGGAUGAGAGUAACUGCUCAUCCCCUGAC